UCCCGAAUAGCUCAGUCGGUUAGAGCAUCUGACUGUUAAUCAGAGGGUCGCUGGUUCGAGCCCAGCUUCGG
rnacentral:tRNA from 1 species